UCAGCAAGUAUGAAUCAUCACAAAGACAUUGAUGCAAAUUAUAAAGAUGUACGUGUAGUGUUUUCAUGAAUAUUUCAUAACUACACUAUCUUUACUACGCAGUCAGGUAUUAAUAUCGACAAUUUCAUGCAUCGUAAUAGUAAACACAAAUUUGAACAAAGUUUGACGGACUUUUCUUGACUUUCGGUCUGUCUAAAACUGUUUAAAGUUCGAAAGAAAUUAAGGAAAUUUGAAAAACCUAACUUAAAACAAUUACUAUGGCUUCAUCGCACGUGGUUAUAGCCGGCCAAAUAUUUCAAUUUUACUGUUUAAAUACAAUAUAUGCCUUUCUUGACCAAACCCUUAUACUAUUUUGAUAAAUUAAGAAUACUUGUCACGAAAUUCAAGCAUUAUUUGAUGUGUAAACUGUUCUUCGCGAAAAACCCCGCCAAAAUAUUUCACAUAGCCACUUGUGGCCGCCACGCUACACAAGCGCCACGACAACACAAAAGUUUAAACACAAAUAACACAAAAUUACCUCCACCAUUUUUCUGAGCUAGAUAAGGGAAACGCCAGACGUUUCCUAAACCAACAGCAAACCCAAUCGUCGCCAAGACAAACUCGAUAUGUCUACCCCAAUUCCCUCGUUCCUCAUGGGUGUCGUGCCCGGCUUCGUCCGCAUUUUCAAGAUCGUACUUAUCCCUGUCUUCACUAAUGUCCAUGUUUCAACAAAUAAUACGAGUUAUUACUUCUUUAUUAAUUUUGUAUAAAUUCGGCUUAGUUUGGAACACACAGAAUCGUCUGUUAUCAGUUAUAUAUAAUCAGUUACCGUUAGUUGUCAUACAAGACAUACAACGUGGCAUUACUCAAACGCAGGUC